rnacentral:rRNA from 1 species
UGAGUAAUGCCUAGGAAAUUGCCCUGAUGUGGGGGAUAACCAUUGGAAACGAUGGCUAAUACCGCAUGAUGCCUACGGGCCAAAGAGGGGGACCUUCGGGCCUCUCGCGUCAGGAUAUGCCUAGGUGGGAUUAGCUAGUUGGUGAGGUAAGGGCUCACCAAGGCGACGAUCCCUAGCUGGUCUGAGAGGAUGAUCAGCCACACUGGAACUGAGACACGGUCCAGACUCCUACGGGAGGCAGCAGUGGGGAAUAUUGCACAAUGGGCGCAAGCC